UUUCAGCGGCUCCAUGACCUCUAUUUUCAUUUCUCACAUACUUUUCUUUUGAUCCCUCGAUAAAAAUAUCAAAGAAUUUCAAUAGGUUCAUUUAUAAUUAUAAUCUCAUCUGGGAUCAUCACCUGUUCCCAUUUAUCAGCAUUGGCAAGGAAAAGUGGUACAUUUUUAUUUUUAUUUAAUGAAGAACCAGCUGCUUUAACAGAUGUUUCAUAAAUUUAGAAGAUGCCUUGCACUUCUUCAUCAGGGAAAGAACACCUAAAUGCUCUCUACUUAUACAACAACGAACAACUCUUGCUCUGUUCCUACACUGUACUUUAAGGAAGCUAAAGUGGAGAGAGAUUGAGUAAUGACCAACAUCACCUGGAUCUUAAGUGGUGGAGCUAGUACUGACCAGGUUAAGACCACUGGUCCGAAGCCAGCUGAACACUGGUUACUGGGAUGGAUACUUGCCUACUUGGAAUCUGGUUAUUGACCUGCAGAGGUCAGACCUACUGUGAAAUCCCUGCCAAUUCUGAAACUCCCUGAUAGUGUAUGAUGAACUUUUCCUUCAUCUGGGUUCCUGAGAGAUAAUUAACAGAGUAGAGCUCUCCAGCAACCCCCUAAUGGAAACACAGCCUAAGCAAGCACCCAGGGGCAAUCACAAGCCGGCGUGAAUCAUGGAGCACAACUGCGUGUCCCUCAUUUGUUGUAGGGCUCUGCGCAAGGAGAGGAGGACAAGCAAGCAGGAACAAAGAGGGCGGCUCUCAUGUCCUUGAGCCACUAUCAACAAAUUGGAGAUAAUUACAGUCAGGACACUUGAGAAAUUGAACCAAAAAGUUCAUCCUCUGAUAUUGAAUUUUAAGGUGAUUUUUAGUCAUGUAACAGGGUAAAAGGAGGUCAGUUUGAAAACAUGGCAA